GUCCGUCCGUAGUCUUAGGCAAAACCUAUCUGUAAGGGCAUUGACAAGCCUAGGUAGGUGCGUAACCUUAAAAUCCGUGAAGCCGUCCGUGUCUGAUUAAGGUACUGAUUGUGAUGACGAUAGUAAGUCAGCAGGUGGAAGCACUUGUACGGUGGUUACUGCAGCCUCAUAUACAUGAAUGACUGAUGUAGAGUUCGGUUGGAGCGACAAGUAUUUAGCUUGAGAUAGCUAAAUCACCUCGGUAUGAUUAGGGUGAGACCUAGGAACCGUAGGGGUAUUCUCAAAGGAAGCUUUUGCAGUGACGCCCAUGUAAGUGGGAUAUAACAACAGAACUCGUAUGAGUAGCCUAAUUCUGCAACCCUCUUUAGGGUAUGUGUUAGCCAUAUUUUAGGAUGGAAACAUGAAUACAAGAUAUAUUUACUCUUGUUAGGUGAAAGUUGAUGGUCGCCGUGUCAGUCCAUGCCUUUGAAAACAGUUCUAUGUAGUAGGGAGUCGAGAACCUAUGAGAGUUAGAACUUGCACGAAACAUUCUAUUGUCUGCAGUGUAUGUGUGGUAGGGCUAAAAACCCUUGCCUAUUUUAUAAGUUC
rnacentral:ncRNA from 1 species